GUGCCAGCCGCCGCGGUAAGACGGAGGGGGCUAGCGUUGUUCGGAAUUACUGGGCGUAAAGAGCGCGUAGGCGGCCAGUCAGGUCCGAUGUGAAAACCCGGGGCUCAACUCCGGGCCUGCAUUGGAAACCGGCUGGCUAGAGUCUGGGAGAGGUGAGUGGAAUUCCUGGUGUAGCGGUGAAAUGCGUAGAUAUCAGGAGGAACACCGGUAGCGAAGGCGGCUCUCUGGAACAGUACUGACGCUGAGGCGCGAAAGCUAGGGGAGCGAACAGGAUUAGAUACCCUGGUAGUCCUAGCCCUAAACGAUGGACACUAGGUGUCGGGGGUGUCGACUCCCCCGGUGCCGUAGCUAACGCAUUAAGUGCCCCGCCUGGGGAGUACGCUCGCAAGGGUGAAACUUAAAUGAAUUGACGGGG
rnacentral:rRNA from 1 species